UUCAGCUUACGUUUUUGUAACCAAAUCAGUUG
rnacentral:piRNA from 1 species